rnacentral:rRNA from 1 species
GACGAACGCUGGCGGCGUGCCUAAUACAUGCAAGUCGAGCGAAGUUUUUCUGGUGCUUGCACUAGAAAAACUUAGCGGCGAACGGGUGAGUAACACGUAAAGAACCUGCCUCAUAGACUGGGACAACUAUUGGAAACGAUAGCUAAUACCGGAUAACAGUAUUUCUCGCAUGAGAGAUAUUUAAAAGUUGGUUAUGCUAACACUAUGAGAUGGCUUUGCGGUGCAUUAGCUAGUUGGUGGGGUAAAGGCCCACCAAGGCGACGAUGCAUAGCCGACCUGAGAGGGGGAUCGGCCACACUGGGACUGAGACACGGCCCAGACUCCUAGGGGAGGCAGCAGUAGGGAAUCUUCCGCAAUGGGCGAAAGCCUGACGGAGCAACGCCGCGUGAGUGAAGAAGGAUUUCGGUUCGUAAAGCUCUGUUGUUAGGGAAGAAUGGAUAUGUAGUAACUAUACAUGUAAGAGACGGUACCUAACCAGAAAGCCACGGCUAACUACGU